rnacentral:tRNA from 1 species
AAGGGUGUUGCUUAGUGUUAAGAGUACUUGCCUAGUGUGCAUGAGUCCCUGGGCUCAAUUCCCAGUACUGUGG